CAUGGCUCAGGACGAACGCUGGCGGCGUGCCUCCUCCCUUCCCUUAUAACGCUGAAGGGAGAGCUUGCUCUUCUGGAUGAGUUGCGAACGGGUGAGUAACGCGUAGGUAACCUGCCUGGUAGCGGGGGAUAACUAUUGGAAACGAUAGCUAAUACCGCAUAAUAGUAGAUGUUGCAUGACAUUUGCUUGAAAGGUGCAAUUGCAUCACUACCAGAUGGACCUGCGUUGUAUUAGCUAGUUGGUGGGGUAACGGCUCACCAAGGCGACGAUACAUAGCCGACCUGAGAGGGUGAUCGGCCACACUGGGACUGAGACACGGCCCAGACUCCUACGG
rnacentral:rRNA from 1 species